rnacentral:tRNA from 1 species
UAGCCCAUGUUCUGGGCCAUUAAUAACGGCUCAUAAUCCCUUGGUCGUAGGUUCGAGUCCUACUGGGCCCACCA